UACGUAGGUGGCGAGCGUUGUCCGGAAUUACUGGGUGUAAAGCGCGCGUAGGCGGUAGGCCAAGUCUGCUGUGAAAUCGCCCGGCUCAACUGGGCGCGGUCGGUGGAAACUGGUCAACUGGAGGACGGUAGAGGCGAGUGGAAUUCCCGGUGUAGUGGUGAAAUGCGUAGAGAUCGGGAGGAACACCAGUGGCGAAGGCGGCUCGCUGGGCCGGCAUUGACGCUGAGGAGCGAAAGGCUAGGG
rnacentral:rRNA from 1 species